AUUGAACGCUGGCGGCAGGCUUAACACAUGCAAGUCGAGCGGAGAGAGGUAGCUUGCUACUGAUCUUAGCGGCGGACGGGUGAGUAAUGCUUAGGAAUCUGCCUAUUAGUGGGGGACAACAUUUCGAAAGGAAUGCUAAUACCGCAUACGUCCUACGGGAGAAAGCAGGGGAUCUUCGGACCUUGCGCUAAUAGAUGAGCCUAAGUCGGAUUAGCUAGUUGGUGGGGUAAAGGCCUACCAAGGCGACGAUCUGUAGCGGGUCUGAGAGGAUGAUCCGCCACGCUGGGACUGAGACAAGGCCCAGACUCCUACGGGAGGCAGCAGUGGGGAAUAUUGGACAAUGGGCGCAAGCCUGAUCCAGCCACGCCGAGUGUGUGAAGAAGGCCUUAUGGUUGUAAAGCACUUUAAGCGAGGAGGAGGCUACUUUAGUUAAUACCUAGAGAUAGUGGACGUUACUCGCAGAAUAAGCACCGGCUAACUCUGUGCCAGCCGCCGCCGUAACAC
rnacentral:rRNA from 1 species